CGAAGUCUAAGCAACUUUUGCAAAAUGCAUGUAUAAAGGGCCCCGCAGUUUGUGUAUUUUUAUUUGGUAAGGCACGCCUUAUUUAUUGUUUUGUUUUAAGGAUUGCGACGUCAUGGAAAUGCAUCUUGAACCACAUUACAACCAGUGUACACGUAGUUUGUUGACACAUUUUGACUUCUUCGAGAUUUAGAUUUGGGCCGCAUAAAUGCACACCCGAACUUCGGAAGGUAAAAUUAAUUAAGGCGCGUCCUAAAGAGAGUCUAACGUAUCGUUAUUUUGGGAAGAGGCUGUGAAAAUUUGCUAAGCGGCCAACUCCGAAGUCUAUCCAAUUAUUGUGUGCAUUUAUUGAGGUGCCCGCAAUUUGUAAUUUAUUUGACGAAGCACGUCUAAUUUUUAUUUA
rnacentral:lncRNA from 1 species